UCCGUAGGUGGCAAGCGUUGUCCGGAUUUAUUGGGUUUAAAGGGUGCGUAGGCGGCCCUGUAAGUCAGUGCUGAAAUAUCCCAGCUUAACUGGGAGGGUGGCAUUGAUACUGCGGGGCUAGAGUACAGAUGAGGUAGGCGGAAUUGACGGUGUAGCGGUGAAAUGCUUAGAUAUCGUCAAGAACACCUAUAGCGAAGGCAGCUUACUAGGCUGUAACUGACGCUGAGGCACGAAAGUGUGGGGAUCAAACAGG
rnacentral:rRNA from 1 species